rnacentral:rRNA from 1 species
UACCCGCAGCACAAGUGGUGGUCAUUAUUAUUGGGCCUAAAGCGUCCGUAGCUGGCCUGUUAGAUGCCUGGGUAAAUCGAUGCGCUUAACGUAUCGAAUUCCGGGUAGACCGGCAGGCUCGAGACCGGGAGAGGUGUAGGCUACUCGGGGGGUAGGGGUAAAAUCCUGUAAUCCUUCGGGGAGGACCAGUGGCGAAGGCGCUACACUAGAACGGCUCUGACAGUGAGGGACGAAGCCCUGGGGCGCAAACCGG